rnacentral:snRNA from 1 species
AUCGCUUCUCGGCCUUUUGGCUAAGAUCAAAGUGUAGUAUCUGUUCUUAUCAGCUUAAUAUCUGAUACGUUACUCAUAGAGUAACUAGAUAUUAAACUAAUUUUUGGACAGCGUCGGUCAAUUUCACAUUUAUGUGAUGAUUCGACACGGAUUCUAAUGGUCUCGCACUAACGCCAUUGGAGUCCAUACAUU